rnacentral:misc_RNA from 1 species
GAAAUGCGAUAACUAAUGUGAAUUGCAGAAUUCAGUGAAUCAUCGAAUCUUUGAACGCACAUUGCGCCCCCCGGCUUCCCGGGGGGCAUGCCUGUCCGAGCGUCAUUGCUACACCCUCAAGCCCCGCUUGGCUGUUUGGGCCGGCGUCCACCCACGGCCUUUGUGCCCCGGGGGGGACGGGCCCGAAAGGUAGUGGCGGCUCCCGGAGGGUGGUCCUUUGGGGCGGUGAUACAUGGGUUGUCGUCUUCCGCCGCUCCGUUGGCCGCGCUCCGGGUGCCCGUCGAACGAUUGGUCUUCCCCUUUAGGUUGACCUCGGAUCAGGUAGGGAUACCCGCUGAACUUAA